CGCGCACCGAGUCGCCCCCAUCCCCUCCGUGAAGACGGAGGCGGCGGGAGCGGAGAAUGGCCCCCCGUGCCCCGUGCGCGGCCGGCCCAAACACAGGCCCCGGGAGGCCGACGUCACGAUCCGUGGUGGUUGUAAAAGACACGCCCUAGAAACCGGAUCACGUGCACGCCGCGCCGCACCCUCUGCCACAGCGACCCCCCUAGGGCCCUCCCCGGACGGCACCCACUCU
rnacentral:rRNA from 1 species